rnacentral:rRNA from 1 species
UACGAAGGGGGCUAGCGUUGUUCGGAAUCACUGGGCGUAAAGGGUGCGUAGGCGGAUUCUUAAGUCAGGGGUGAAAUCCCGAGGCUCAACCUCGGAACUGCCUUUGAUACUGGGGAUCUUGAGUCCGGAAGAGGUGAGUGGAACUGCGAGUGUAGAGGUGAAAUUCGUAGAUAUUCGGAAGAACACCAGUGGCGAAGGCGACUCACUGGACACAUAUUGACGCUGAGGUGCGAAAGGCGUGGGGAGCAAACAGG